rnacentral:lncRNA from 1 species
AGAGAGAUACACCAUCAAUCAAUUUAAUGGGUGUGUGUGGUUCAUUUACUAUGAUACUCUACAUAUUAUAGUCAAGUGCUUGAAUAAAAAUUUUCAUCCGAACUUUUCAAUAGGUGUAAUUUGAUCUAUUGAAAAGUGAAGGUCGGUUUGUAGAUUGCCCCUCGACUAGUGAUGUGCCAAAUUGAGCUGCCAUUGACCUUUGGCUCUUGAUGGUUAAAUCAAGCAAGGGUUAGAGCACUGUGCUCUGAUACCACUUGUUGCUCAGAUAUGAAGCUCAAGAGGGAGGGUGAAUUGAGUCUUUUUAAAAUUUUCAAGAUUAGUGCACU